AAUACUGGAGUGAGUAGCCUAUCCCUUCUCCAGGGGAUCUUCCCAACCCAGGGAUCAAACCCGGGUCUCCUGCGCUGCAGGCAGAUCCUGUACCAGCUGAGCUACCAGGGAAGCCCCAGUGAUGCCUUAUUUAAUUAUCAUGACAGCCACAUAGGUAGAGUUUACAGAUGAGGAAUAUAGAAUUUAGACGAGCUUAUAGUAGCAGCUGCAGUGUUUGUGAAAGAUAUUGCAAAUUGAACUAAAGCUAUGAUGUGUGGGUGAAGACUAGACAGAUGAACUUUGAGAAGUUAAAAUUGAAGAAUUGAUGGAGUUGAUAACUGACUGGAGAAAGAUCAUGACAGGAGAAUCUGGGUAAUUUUGGUUUAGGUAGUGGAGUAGGUGGAUUUUUGGCCGAGAAGGGCAUACUGGAGAAUUAGGUGGGAAGAUUGAAUGGGGAAGGAUGAAUUUGGUUCUGCUCACAGUUUGAAGGUGGUUACUGAAUCUCCAAGUGGAGAUAUCUAUUUGGUGUAUAUAACUGAACAUGUAGACCUACAGUUUGGGAAAAGUUUGAACUAAACUAAUUUAUUUAGUUAUUUGAAGAUUUAGAGGAGAUCUCCACCCUGGGGUUUAUAAAAUUAGAGGGGAGAAGAGACUGUUGAAGAAAUUGUGAAAAUGCUCAUGCAAGGGAAGAACCAGAAGAAAGUGGUAGAAACCGAGACUCAAAAGAACCGUCGACAUUGUCACACCACAGCUGAAGACUGAAGAGCGACUACAGAAACAGAAUCAUGGUCUCUGUGGAGUUGUGGAGGUACCAGUGGAUACAGGAAGCCAGGGUUUCAUUGUUUUAUCAAUAUUCUCUUAGACCCAGAGGGAGCUUAUGAGCCAGCUGCCAUGACUGAAGACAGACCUGAGGAAUGUGUGUUCUCUGGGUAUUGUUCAGCUCUACGUAGUUGGAGACAGAGGUACCGCAGUCGGUUUCACAGCUGUCAGUCUUUCCAAGGCAGCUCCAGUGGAGUCCGUAGUGGGACACUGGCAGUUUCCUACUUGCUCCUGAAUCUGUCAGCAUACUUAAAAUAGUCACUGCCCCUCCUGAGGUAACAGCCAGGGACCUCUGACCCUGAAGAAUGUUUUUACGGUUCUGUAUCAAAGGCUGUUAUUUUAGCACUGUCAAUAUAAUAGAACUGAAAGGCAUUUCCCCCCCCCGGAAAAAUGUUAAUUCUCCAAAGUUGGUGAAAUUAGAAUUUAGAAAUAAAAUGGAGAGUAACCUUAGGUUAUACUACACAAUUCUACUGUCCCAAAGUCUGCUGCUUGGGACAUGGAAAUGAAUAUAGUUGCCAUCUAUAAAAUGAAAGAUUGGGGAUGUACCAUGGAUAUUUCUGACAUCUCUUUAAUCAUUUCUAGAUCUGUUAUUCAUAAUUAUGUGGCACUCUGCAAGUGGGCAUGGUGUGUAGAUACUUUAUAUGUGUGUAUCACUUUGGAUAAGCUAUAGAUUUUCAGUCCACAAAUACUUACUCAGCACUUUCUUGCACUGUUAAGCCAGAAUAGUAGAAUCUUAAGAGUUAUCCAACCUAUGGCAUGUGGACUUGUGGCCUUUCUUGGACAUUGUCAGAGCCAGUUCAUUCCAUUUUUGAACAUACCAGAAAAUGUAAAGAAAACACACUUUCUUUUUAGGGGGGUGGGGGAGAAUUUAAUACAUUCACCAAAUUAAAUGAAAGGACAAGAACGUACUGUCGACGCAACUUAAGACAAUUUAGAAUCAUAAACAAAAUGUGAGGUAGACUGACUAGUGAAAUUAACCAAAUUUUGGUUAAGAAACUUUACAGUAAUAAAGUAACACAGGUGCCUCCUUUUCUAAAAAUCACAAGAAGCAAUUGCAUAAAUUACAGCCCAAAAAACUGAAUAUAGCAAUUCUCAUUGGAGGUUUACAUUCAGUAUUAACCUGUGUGAACCCUCACAUAUCGCAGGGUUUAACAGGUCUAUAGGUCAGUUAUUCUGCAGGCCAAGUGAACACAUUUCACACCACAAUAUUCUAAGGGCUGGCGAGGCUCAAAGUGGAACACACCAGGGGUUGUAUUAACCAAAUCAUGGUGUUCUGUGCUUGUGCAAUUUUAUCCUUAAAGGAGAAUGACCUAACAUUCUCUAAAGAAUUAUACUGAUAAGGUGAUUUUAAAAGAUCCAAGCCUUAGUAAGACAGACACUGAAAAGAAUAGGCAGGUCAGUUUAAAAUCUCCAUCAUCAGGGUGAUGAUCUUUUGGCUUUAUUCUGGCAUUCCUCUUCCACAGAGUUAAACAGCAUUUAAGAGAUCAUAAUCAUCUGAUUUUUUCAGAGUAUAAUCCUAACAAAUAUGGAGUCUCCACAGCUCAAAUAAGGACUUAAAAAUUUUUUCCUUAGACUGAAGCCAUAAAGCCAGAAGAAACCCUGAGAGGCCAUCUGCCCCAGGAACAGCUGUUUCAGGAUUAUUUCAAGUAUUUUAUUUGCCCUAUAUAGUAAAUUUUGGAAUAUUGCACAAACAGUGGGUUUCAUCAUCUGCAGUAGGCCCUUCAAUAAAACAAGUGAAAUACAUUCAUAUCUAAAUCAGCCUGCUUCAGAACGUACCUCUUUGCCAAAAGUUCUGCUGUACUAAAAUUAACAAGUAUUUUUAAAGCAUAUAUAAGGCAGGUCCUCUUUAAAGAUCAAUUAAAAAUGGAAUUUUUAAAAGGAAUUGUUCAUUUUAAGAUACAUAUAAAACAAAAAUAGCUAUUAAAACCGAGAGAUCUGAAAUCAUUUUCAGAUUAGUACAUUCCAUCUUUUCACUCUCUGUAAACUCUGUAUCACAAACUAGUAAAGCUGGUCAGGUAACACUAUUUGUUCUGAGUGAAUGCAGACUUAGCAGGCCCCUCUCAGUAGUUUCAGGCCAUAAACAAGACAUCUAUUCAAGUAAAAAUGGCUAUGUAAAGUGGAGAUAAAGUGAAAGUGAUAUAUGGGCUAAUAAGAAAAAUGUCAAGCCAUCAAUGAGAACUGAAGUAAUUCGGAAGAAUUAACUUCCAAUAAACUUAGUAUGUUCUAGAACAUUUUCUAGAAAUCCGUUUUUGAUUAAAAUAUGUGGUAAAAAAAAAAAGUCUGUAUAAAUUUAUGCCUCCUACUGUUGAUACUGAACAAAGAUCCCCUGCUGAUUUUUGAGUCAAAAAGACUUAAAUGGAAUUCUUUUUUACUGCACACGCACACACGCACGCCCACUCACCCACUCACUGGUAGAAUUAAGUAAAACAGCCUCUCUCUCUCUAUGGCUCUGUUUCCCAUUUCAGCAGUUUCUGUGGUAUUGUCAGUAUAAGGCAGCUCAUUCAGUGUAUCUUUGAAAGGAAACUCUGCUCUAGUCUUUGAAAGGAAACAAACUAGUUCCACUCCACAUAGAAGCUUAGCCUGCGUGACAUUUAGCUUUGCUGGUGCCAACUGCUUAAUUCCAACCCAAUGGAGUGGGUGUGGGGUGACUGCUGAAACCUUCUUAAUUGGCUCAACUUUUGAAUCAGGUUUUCCUUGUACAAUAUUAAUCACUGUUCAUAUUCUCACAGGCAUGAUGUGCUUAAGAGACUGGAAACAUUUUUAAAGAAUGGAUAAAGCAAAAGAACCGAAGCCAGGAGAAGCUGCAUAAAUACACACAACGCCUGCUCUGCAUUUACUAAUGUGUUUGUUCAGUUUAAAUAGUAAACUUUCAACUCCUGUGGAAAUUUUGCCAAAAGUUUCAAUACAUACAAGAUUAUAAAUCAUAAACUAACACUGCACAGAGAAAGACAAGGCUACUUUUUUUUUUAAAUACAAAUAUCUUCUACAUUCUAUCAUUUCAGACCCCUGAGUAAUACUGUACCAAAGUA